UACAGAGGUCUCAAGCGUUGUUCGGAUUCAUUGGGCGUAAAGGGUGCGUAGGCGGCGCGGUAAGUCGGGUGUGAAAUCUCGGGGCUUAACUCCGAAACUGCAUUCGAUACUGCCGUGCUUGAGUACAGGAGAGGGUGGGGGAAUUCCAGGUGUAGCGGUGAAAUGCGUAGAUAUCUGGAGGAACACCGGUGGCGAAGGCGCCCACCUGGCCUGCUACUGACGCUGAGGAGCGAAAGCGUGGGGAGCGAACAGG
rnacentral:rRNA from 1 species